rnacentral:tRNA from 1 species
GCUGGCGUAGCUCAAUCGGCAGAGNNAGAGCAGCUGAUUUGUAAUCAGCAGGUUGCGGGUUCAAGUCCCAUCGCCAGCUCCA